GACGAACGCUGGCGGCGUGCCUAAUACAUGCAAGUAGAACGCUGAAGGAGGAGCUUGCUUCUCGGAUGAGUUGCGAACGGGUGAGUAACGCGUAGGUAACCUGCCUGGUAGCGGGGGAUAACUAUUGGAAACGAUAGCUAAUACCGCAUAAGAGUAGAUGUUGCAUGACAUUUGCUUAAAAGGUGCAAUUGCAUCACUACCAGAUGGACCUGCGUUGUAUUAGCUAGUUGGUGAGGUAACGGCUCACCAAGGCAACGAUACAUAGCCGACCUGAGAGGGUGAUCGGCCACACUGGGACUGAGACACGGCCCAGACUCCUACGGGAGGCAGCAGUAGGGAAUCUUCGGCAAUGGACGGAAGUCUGACCGAGCAACGCCGCGUGAGUGAAG
rnacentral:rRNA from 1 species